rnacentral:rRNA from 1 species
AGCGGACUGAUGGUGCUUGCACUAUCACUUAGCGGCGGACGGGUGAGUAAUGCUUAGGAAUCUGCCUAUUAGUGGGGGACAACAUUUCGAAAGGAAUGCUAAUACCGCAUACGUCCUACGGGAGAAAGCAGGGGAUCUUCGGACCUUGCGCUAAUAGAUGAGCCUAAGUCGGAUUAGCUAGUUGGUGGGGUAAAGGCCUACCAAGGCGACGAUCUGUAGCGGGUCUGAGAGGAUGAUCCGCCACACUGGGACUGAGACACGGCCCAGACUCCUACGGGAGGCAGCAGUGGGGAAUAUUGGACAAUGGGCGCAAGCCUGAUCCAGCCAUGCCGCGUGUGUGAAGAAGGCCUUAUGGUUGUAAAGCACUUUAAGCGAGGAGGAGGCUACUGAAGUUAAUACCUUCAGAUAGUGGACGUUACUCGCAGAAUAAGCACCGGCUAACUCUGUGCCAGCAGCCGCGGUAAUACAGAGGGUGCAAGCGUUAAUCGGAUUUACUGGGCGUAAAGCGCGCGUAGGCGGCUAAUUAAGUCAAAUGUGAAAUCCCCGAGCUUAACUUGGGAAUUGCAUUCCAUACUGGUUAGCUAGAGUGUGGGAGAGGAUGGUAGAAUUCCAGGUGUAGCGGUGAAAUGCGUAGAGAUCCUGGAGGAAUACCUAUGGCGAAGGCAGCCAUCUGGCCUAACACUG